rnacentral:tRNA from 1 species
UGCCUUGUAGCUCAAUGGUGGAGCGAGCGGCUGUUAACCGCGCGGUUGUGGGUUCGAGUCCCACCGAGGCAG